GUGUGACCAUCUUCAUUCAUCACCUAUUUUAUGGUGAAAAAUAAAAGCGCCUGAUCAUAAACAAAUAAUAAGCACCUAUUUGUGAAAAAAUAAUGAAAACACAAGUUUACUAUUUUACAGAAAUAUUAAAAAUAAGCACUUAUUUAUACACAAAUAAUGAAAACAAAUUGAAAAAAUAAGCAAUUAUUCGUGAACAAAUAAUGAAAAUAAGUGCCUAUUCAUAAACACAUAAUCAUUCAGAAAUGGUUUUUAAAAAUAAAUAUGAUUUGGGCUAAAAUUUAAUAAUUACUAUUUUGAUUGGAAUAUUAGUCUAUACUGUAAAUGUGUGUCUAACCCUUCUUGAAAUUUUCAUCUUCU